AAAAAAAAAAAAAAAAAAAAAAGAACAAAUGGUUGAGAAGUGAUCAACGUCUCUCAAGGGUGGGACGAAAACACCAACCGCCAAACGUCGAUAUUACAGAACAAAAAGAGCCGACGCGCGUCGAAGAAAUGUUCAGACCAGAGAGAUGGCAAUGUUCAUGCGCUUGCCUUCCCGCCAACCCUUCGUCUUGACUUCCAGAAAUGGAGGGGGAUUUCUGGGGAGUAUCAUGAAAGAUUUUAUCAUCCACUCAGGUGGAUUGAAUUGGCAAUUAUGGAGCUGCAGGAAAAGGGUCAUUUCUUUUCCUGGUUGUGUGAAAUCUAUGCAGACAUCUUGUCGAAUUUCGUUCCCGACUAACUCAUCAGGAAAGGAAGGGAAGGUUGCUUCUAACUUUUUGAGGGACAAGAAGUUGGUCCCUGAUGCAAAAGCUCCUAGCUUGCAAGAUGUUAACCUUUUGUAUCAAUUUUUCGAUCAAAGUACCAAGCUCGUGGUAUUGACUGGGGCUGGAAUGAGCACAGAAUGUGGAAUUCCUGAUUAUAGAAGCCCAAAUGGAGCUUAUAGUUCUGGCUUCAAACCGAUUACCCAUCAGGAGUUUCUCCGUUCAAGUCGAGCUCGUAGGCGGUAUUGGGCAAGAAGUUAUGCUGGCUGGAGACGAUUCACUGCAGCAAAGCCUAGUGCUGCUCACACUGCUUUAGCAUCUCUUGAAAAGGCUGGUCGGAUUAAGUUUAUGAUUACACAGAACGUUGAUAGGCUUCAUCAUCGUGCUGGUAGCAAUCCACUUGAAUUACAUGGGACUGUUUACUCUGUGGUUUGUUUGGAUUGUGGUUUUUCUGUAUGCCGGAAUCUGUUUCAGGACCAAGUGAAGGCUCUUAAUCCAAAGUGGGCAGCAGCAAUUGAAAGUUUGGACUACGGCAAUCCUGGAUCAGACAAGAGCUUUGGCAUGAAACAAAGGCCUGAUGGUGACAUUGAGAUUGAUUGGGAAGAGGAUUUUCACAUACCUACUUGUCAAAAGUGCAAUGGAGUACUUAAACCAGACGUUGUCUUCUUUGGCGAUAAUGUCCCCAAGGAUAGAGCUGAUAAAUCAGUUGCAGCUGCCAAGGAGUGUGAUGCUUUUCUUGUGCUAGGAUCAUCUGUAAUGACCAUGUCUGCAUAUCGGCUUGUCAGGCUUUUGAUCUCGGUCUUACAGGGCUGCGCAUGAAGCGGGUGCUGCAACUGCAAUUGUGAAUGUUGGUGUGACACGAGCAGAUGAUUUUGUGCCUCUGAAAAUCAAUGCUCGAUUAGGAGAGAUCCUACCAAGAGUGCUUCACUCUGGAUCCCUCAGCAUACCUGCUGUCCACUGAAAUAUAUACAACUCUCAGGUUGACCUAACCUGGAACUAAUGUCAAUUAUUUCAUUGACAAGUAAUUUUUUUAUUUUUUAUUUUUCAAUGAAAACCAAUGAUUUUAUUUCCUUUCUGUUAUAAAUUCUUAGAUUUUUUUUUAAUUUUGUUUAUUUUUUAUUGCUUAUCAAUUAUUAAACAUUAGAUUGCUUCAAGUGUAAUUCAAGGGAGAACAUUUUUGGAUAUUACAACUCGUGAGGAAAAAUUAUUGUCUUUU